UUAUACUCUGGUUUUUGCUGAGUGAAUGUUACUUUUGAAUUUCUGUGAUUUAUCUGCGCCAUUUUCAUUUUAUCUACACGAUGUCUGCUAAACGAUCUGCAUCUAAUGUAUUUUUCCUUUCCGCGAUUCAGAUGAUGAUUUAAUCGAUGAAGUUGAUCAAAUAUUCAUGGAAAAUCCUCUGGUUCAGCCCUUGUAUUACCAAGUGGGUUCUGGAUUUGAGACGUCUUCUUCAUCAGCUCGUGGUCCUGUGUAUAUGGCAGGUUCUGAUGAACGUUCGAUCGAUGAGGCGAUUGUUCUCACUGAAAAAUCUCGUCGACGGAACCAUAAAUAUCAGGCCGAGGAAAUUUCCUUCCGAGCUAGUAUAGAUAUGGAACGGCUGCCUCAGGACGUAUAAGGCGUCCCGAUGGUGCGAAUUCCGGACACCGUCCGGGAAUUGUUUGAACAGCUUAUUCGCCGGACAACAGCCGAUUUGGGUCCCUCAGAUCUUAUACGGUUUUGCAUCCAGGCAGAAGGGUUGGACAAACCCAUCAGCACAUCUCUUAUGACAGUUUCAACCCUAACGGUUGAAAAAAUUUUGGCUGCUGUGAUGAAAGUGUUGCAGUCCAAAGACAAGAUUGAACUAGACACAGGGUUCUCCGUGGAUGUCAUCACCAUCAGACGACCUGUGAGUGUCGGACGAAACAGGAAAGUCAUCAUUAUUUCCGUGGAUAGGCUCAGUAAAAGGUCCAUUUUGGCUAUUCCAUACAAUGAGGAAGGACUGUGCUGUGCUAAGGCAAUUGUUUAUGCCUUAGCACAUUUGAAAAAGGAUUCGAGCGCCAUCAAUGCCUUGAGAAAUCAUCGUCGGCCAACACUGAUGAACCGUGCAAGGCAACUUCAUUUAGAUGCAAAUGUGCCCCUAGGUCCUUGCACGUUUGCGGAGAUCGCCAUAUUUGAAGAUCACCUGGAUACUCAAAUUGCAGUCUUUUCAUCGGAAAAUUUGAACCGGGUGGUCUAUAAAGGAAGAAAGAGGACACAACGAAUCAAUUUAUGGCUUCAAGAUGGACAAUAUGACGUGAUCAAGUCCCUCAAAGGGUUUUUCGGCAGCAACCAUUACUGAAGACCUACCAGCGCGUUGAAGAACAUCGAAUCGCCAAUGCGUGUCCCAUAUGCUUGAGGACCGACUGCUUUCCGGGCCAGCCCCAACGAUGUCAGGCUUGCGACCGUCUCUACCGAUCCGAUGCCUGUUGCGCAGCACACAAAGCCCUCACUGGAAACCAAGAGUUUUCACUUUGCGAUCUUAAUUAAAUAUAUCUUAAUGAACAAAGUUAUUUAUCAAAUAAUUUUCUCAAAAUUGUUAUGUUAAAAAAAUUAAUUGUCGUUACAGGUAUACCAGUGCAGGGACUGCUGCCAAGUGAUUGAACGCCGUAAGUGCCCUAAAGAUCUGCAUAAGUGCGGUACCACCAAAUGUCGUCUUGCGGCCAGUUUGUCGUGGCUGCUGAGCACCGUUGCUAUUUACGUCGUAUUGCUCCGAAGAAGUCCGAUGACAAGUUCAUUUUCUUUGACUUUGAAACGGACCAGUCUUCGGGGGAACACCUCGUAAAUUUCGCGGUGGCUCAGUAUGCCGACGGCACAGAAAAAGUGUUUCCGGGAUACAUGGCAUACCAAGAUUUCUGCGCCUGGCUGUUCUCCACAGAGCACAAGGGCUACACCGCCUUGGCUCAUAACAUGAAAGGGUUCGACGGUCAGUUCGUGAUGGCCUGGCUCCUGGAGCAAGGCACAGCGCCGGAGGUGAUCC
rnacentral:misc_RNA from 1 species